GACGUCAUUGCCCAACAUGGCGGGUAGUAAGGUGCUUGCUUCCUGAACUACUCACAUACACAUUGUUUUUGCAGGUGGUGAAGUGAAGGCACUGUUGCUGUGUAGUAAGAUAUUCACCAACACCUCCAUGCAGGGAAUGGACUGCAGCUAGUGGUGUCAGUGUCACGUGGACAGCCAGAGGUAGCAGUAUUUGACCACGGUGUUCAGAGUGUGGCAGUAAAACUAGUUGCCAUGACGACGCUUGUACCUGUACAAGGCGUUACAUCACUACAGCCCGGAAGAACAUAAUCAUGACAGUAGUUGUUACAUCCAGAUAGAUCCUGGCGAUAAUCUAGAAUUAACUUCAGCCGAUUUGGAUCAAACGGAUGACAUCGAGGAGCCAGUAGGUUGGUUUCAUGGUCGCAACUUGACCAAAGGGACAUUGGGGCAGUUCCCAGGUCACCCGUACAUUGAGUUCAUUCGCAAGAUGCCGAUUCCGGCCAGGCGGCCAUCUUUGACCAAUGGGCUGGACAACACCUGUGAUGACAGCGGCUAUGGAGGCACCCCUAGACGUAAGUUGAGAAUUUUUCCUUU
rnacentral:lncRNA from 1 species